rnacentral:lncRNA from 1 species
UUUCAAGUACCUGGAUUUGGGGUCAUCACAUUAGAGGCUUGUUGCUAAUAUUCAUACUGAUUUGUUGCCAGAUUUAUAGGAUUGUAGAGUAUAGUUCACAUUUGCAUCAAGGUUGUUUUUUUGUAGUAUAACAUUGUGUUAAAUUGCUUGAGGACAAAUAAAUGCUUAAAUUUGGGGGUAUUUAGGCUUAGUAUUAUUGACAGUUAUCGAGCGUUGCAUGUUACUUUUGAUGGUUUUUGUGUCACUUCACAGGAAGAAAGGCAAGGAUGGGACUUCGGAGCUAAAAGAGGGAGAAAUAAUUGAAGAAAUGGAUAUUCUGCUAAAGGGGCGCGCGUUGCCUGGUGUGGAGAAGGCGCAGGUCGCGCCGGGUUGAGAAGAGAUGCUGCAUAUAUAGCGCGGACCGCGCCAUUUUAAGAAGGGAUCGGGCGCAGCCGCGCAGGGCGCGCCAGUAUGACGAAUUACUGCAGAUUCUAUUUCUUUAAGUAUUCAAAGUUGAAUCUAUUAAGGAUUUUGACUUACCUUAUGUAAUAGGAUUUUUGAGGACUAUAAAGACUAGUUGUUUACUUAGUUUUACACAUCUCUUUUUGACUGACAACUAUUGAGAGCUACCUUGUAGAGACUUGGAGAUUGUAUUGGAGAACAUUGAAGGCAAAGAUUGAAGCUUGGAGAUUAGAGAUUCCUGG